GGCCUGAUGGUCUAGUAGUAUGAUUCCUUGUUAGGGCUGUUCAAUUGACAGAAAUUUCGAGGAGGUCCCGGGUUCAAUUCCCGGUCAGGCCC